CGCCUUUAUGUGUUGCCCAUUCAUUGCUUUCUCUGGUGAAUGUGGUGUCAACAAAGGCAUAAAGCAAUUUUUGGAGUUUUUGUGAGCCAGUUGGAGUCAUUUGUAUUUUAAAAGGUAAAUCU
ensembl:snoRNA